UACGGAGGGUGCAAGCGUUAUCCGGAUUUACUGGGCUUAAAGGGUGCGCAGGCGGAUAUGUAAGUCAGUGGUGAAAUCUCUAGGCUUAACCUGGAAAUUGCCGUUGAUACUAUAUAUCUUGAAUGUUGUGGAGGUAAGCAGAAUAUGUCAUGUAGCGGUGAAAUGCUUAGAUAUGACAUAGAAUACCUAUUGCGAAGGCAGCUUACUACGCAGAUAUUGACGCUCAUGCACGAAAGCGUGGGGAGCAAACAGG
rnacentral:rRNA from 1 species